CCAGGGACAAGUGGGCCCGAUUCCCCCCCACCCCUCAGAACUUUCCCUGCAUAGCAACGAGGAGUGGGAGCCGACCCAGGAGGAGGAUACGACCGACCAGGCAUGCAGUGACCUGCCGCGGUCGUCAAGGGACCAAAUGGAGAAGUCGAAAAAGAGAGCCUAGAAAGGCAAGAAGCCAGCCAGAGGAGCAGUCGGAGGAGGAAGCCUCUGGUGAAGAUGCAGGACCGAAAAAGCCGCGUGGACCCAGAUACACUGAGGCGGAAAACUGUGCGUCGACAGGUCCUACGAAGUUCUGUAUGGACAAAGGGCACAGACCACAGCAGCUAAGACCAAGCGAAACAUCUGGGAUGCCAUCGCGACACAAGUCACUGCAGUAUCUGGAAACCGCCGGAGCACCAGAAACUGCAUGAAGUGGUACAGUGAUUGCCGCAGACAGACCACAAAGAAGAUGGGGAUUCAGCGCCGACAUGAGACAGCUACGGGAGGUUUUCCGGCUCUCAAUCUGAAGUGGCUACCCUGGGAGGAAGUUAUUAAAAGGCGCAUGAACCGGAGGUGUGGACUCCAGCCGUCCUGCUGGCUUUCCCGAAGAAGAAGAACCGCCCAGAAGGCGGGAGACAAGCAGUCCAAAAGGAGGCCUGAUGAGGACAUCGCCAGCGCGCGGACCAUUACCUGCGCAGCAGGCAUCGGCAGCAGCACGCGGAACAUCACCUGCGCAGCAAGCAUCAGGAGUGCGCAGAUCAUCACCUGCGCGCCACACAUCGUCAUCGCGCAGCAAGUCACCUGCGCGCCAGACGACGUCAGCGCGCAGACCAUCACCUGCGCGCCAGACAUCAGCGCACAGAACGUCACCUGUGCGCCAGACACCGUCGGCGACCACACCACCAGAUGGGCGCCAAACUACAGCUCCUGCGUGCAGUCCAUCACCAGAUCGUCAUCUCUCCAGGAGCUCUGGGACUGACCGAAGAGCCUCAACAAGACUCUACCCUUGUGGACCCAUCACCCGAACUGUUUGAGUCUACAGGGUUAACGGAUGAAACUUUUCUUGGGUUUGAAGACAGCCGUGCAGAAGUAUCCAGCCAGACCCUUGAAAAGUCUCCAGA